rnacentral:rRNA from 1 species
AGAAUGAACGCUGGCGGCAUGCCUAACACAUGCAAGUCGAACGAAGCCUUCGGGCUUAGUGGCGCACGGGUGCGUAACGCGUGGGAAUCUGCCCUUGGGUUUGGAAUAACAGUUAGAAAUGACUGCUAAUACCAAAUGAUGUCGUAAGACCAAAGAUUUAUCGCCCAAGGAUGAGCCCGCGUAGGAUUAGCUAGUUGGUGAGGUAAAAGCUCACCAAGGCGACGAUCCUUAGCUGGUCUGAGAGGAUGAUCAGCCACACUGGGACUGAGACACGGCCCAGACUCCUACGGGAGGCAGCAGUGGGGAAUAUUGGACAAUGGGCGAAAGCCUGAUCCAGCAAUGCCGCGUGAGUGAUGAAGGCCUUAGGGUUGAAAGUCUCUUUACCCGGGAUGAUAAUGACAGUACCGGAGAAUAGCUCCGGCUAACUCCGCGCCAGCCAGCCCGA